AUUGAACGCUGGCGGCAGGCCUAACACAUGCAAGUCGAAAGAGUGGCGGACGGGUGAGUAUUGUCUGGGAAACUGCCUGAUGGAGGGGGAUAACUACUGGAAACGGUAGCUAAUACCGCCUACCCUCGGAUGUGCCCAGAUGGGAUUAGCUAGUGGGUGGGGUAACGGCUCACCUAGGCAACGAUCCCUAGCUGGUCUGAGAGGAGGACCAGCCACCCUGGAACUGAGACGCGGUCCAGACUCCUACGGGAGGCAGCAGUGUGGAAUAUUGCACAAUGGGCGCAAGCCUGAUGCAGCCAUGCCGCGUGUAUGAAGAAGGCCUUCGGGUUUGAAAGUACUUUCAGCGGGGAGGCGUUACCCGCAGAAGAAGCACCGGCUAACUCCGUGCCAGCAGCCGCGGUAAUUC
rnacentral:rRNA from 1 species